GUCAGAAUGACAUUGACAUCCAGCACGACAAAUAUUUCGUAGGUGGGUAUUCUAGGCAGUAUUUUCAUUGUUCUUAGCCUUCAGGUAUCAUUGAUGUAAGCCAACAGUUUGAUUGACUGUUUUUUAGGCGGGAACCCAAAAGUCCAAAAAGUAUGUUUUGCUGUUUAGUUUUUCCAAAUUUGAUUUAUCUAUUACAAUACUAAGUCUAUAAGAAAGGUUGAGAUUGAUCAUCAAGUAAUCAAUGUUUUGGAGUAUGUUACCAUACCUACCUGACUUUGAAUGAUGUUGUGAAUUUUUAUAGGUUAAGAAAAAUUCACAACAUCAUUCAACACAAGCGACUCGCCCCUUCUUUGCACGGGUAUCAUUUAAAGAUAUAAAUCUUCUUCAGAAAACCCAUUUCCAACAGGAUAUUUCAAACAGGAACAAACUCCGUCCACCACUUUCUCAGCACAUACAGACAGAGAAAAUAAAACCUAAUAAUAUCUAUUAAUGUAGUGAGUAGUGAUGAAGUGAAGCAAUUGACUAUUAUUCUGUUAGUAGGUAGGUACUUAUCUCUUUUUCUUUAUCUGCCCCUUUUCCAUUUAUCCCACCUCGCCAUCCGACUUAGGAGGGUAAAGUACUUCACUCUUCCCACCUAGAUGGUAUAAAAGUAACAUAAAGUCUCUAUUACGUAAGCGUUGGUGGUCAAACUGUGAGGGGGCUCGAAUAAAAAGCGUGAUGAUGAAGGAAGUAUGCAGAGAUCGUGGCAAGUGGAAAGAGGUAGUCUCUGCCUCCCCCUCCGGGAAAGAGGCGUGAUUUUAUGUAUGUAUGUAUGUAUGUAUGUAUGAUGAACAACGAAUAUGACAUGUGUAUGCCAUAUUCGUUGUUCAUUUAGUCCAUAUUCGUAUUUUUAAGCGAUGGGCAACCUGUUGCUAUUUAAUUCCACCAUUAAACCAUAUACAGCUGAACUUGGCAUUUCAUUCUUAUCGAGAAUGUUGGCUCUGUCUAUUCCGUUUGAAAAUCAUUCAGAAAUAGAAAAGCUAGAUAAUAAUGCGAUCACACUUCCUGAUUUUCGUGACCUUGACAGGGGAACCUGGUGUAUUAAAGUUAAUCAAUUAUACAGUUUAAUAAAAAUAUUUGGGAUAGGGGAAGAGGUCGCAAGGCUUUUGUAGUAUACACAACACAAUCAGUUCCAAUGUAUCAUAUUUAUUUUGUCAAUAUAUAGUUACGUAGUCCAUAAGUGUGACUAGGUACUGUAGGAAUCCUAAAUGCGUUCCCCUACUCAUGAUUUCAUAUAAGAUUAAUGAUGUAAAAAAGUUAUUAAUAAGGUACCUACUUACAAGAAUACCUACACAAAAAUAUAUGUACAUGUUUUGACUUUAUAGAACCUACGUAAAUCGAAAAUUAGAUCGGAACAUAAGUAUAUGAUAACUACGCUUCAACUCUAUGCGUAAACAUAUUAUAAAAUAAAAUUGCUAGAACUAUGAUGUAGGAAGCGACAUUAUUUACUGAGUUGUUAGCUGCUCUCGGAGUUAUCUUUUGUGUGGUGGUAGUAAAAAUUGGAGGAAUCACUCUUAAUGUAUCAUCUGAGAGCUCAUUUAUUGGAUUUCUGGGAUUAAAUGGCAAAAUAGGUAAAAUAGUAGUUGUCUCAGCAGAUGGUUUUAAUGUGGCACCUGAGAGCUCAUUUAUAGGAUUUAUAGGUGAUAAAGUAGAUGGCACAGUUGUUUCAAUAGAUGGUUGAGAGUCUGUUGUAGUAAUAGGACUUAAAUUUUCUUCGCAUAUUCCCGAAGCUGAAUUGAAUUCCGUUGAUUUAGGGCAUUCCAUAGAUAUUGCUAUUUUCAAAUCACCUAAUCCUUGGGUACAAGAAAUGUAAUUUCUCGUAGAUGUUGAAUCUGAAAAGUUUCCAAGGCUCGUGCAAGAGUAACUAGGAAGACAUUUGGCACCGGUGAUGGAACAAACCAAGUUCAGAUUUAAGCUGAGGCCCUUAGGACAUGGGAUGGUGUAAGUAACGAAUGAAGUGGCUUGCUUAA
rnacentral:lncRNA from 1 species